rnacentral:lncRNA from 1 species
GCCGUGUGUGUGUGUAUGUGUGUGUGCGCGCAUGUACAUGUACGCAUAAGCGUGUGCUGUAUGUGAGCCUCCUGGGCAUGGGUGGGGGUUGGCAUUGCGGUUGCCAAUCUAGUGUCCAACCAGAAGGACAGAGGGAUGGAGUGGAAGAAGGAGGGGAGAGGCUUGGGGUCUGGGAGGGGAGAAGAGGGUGCAUGAGUUGCUUCAUGCUGCCUGCUUACAGGCAUUGGCAUUGUAGCUGCCACCCUUUUGCCCACGGAGAUGGGAGGAGGCGAGUGGAGGGCGCAGCGGCAGGAGUCCUGUGCUCUGGGAGGAAGGCUUUGUACAUGGGAGCUGUUGGCAUCACAUCUGUCAGGCCGGUGCCCAGAACUGGGGCAAUGGAGACUGGGGGAUCCAGGAAGCAGGGAGGAGGGGCAGAAUGUGUUUCUGAUGUUGCUGUCCCUCUAGAAGCUCAGCUCUGAAAAAUGGUUGGAGUAUGAGGCAUGGGGAGUGGAGCAACAGACGGAGAGUGGCAUGAAGACACAAAGGAGGAAGCACACCAUUGCCAAGACCCCAAGGAAGAAGGAUGGAAAGCGCUGGCAGUCCUGCCUGGCCCCCAGCCAGUUCCCUGCUGAAGAUGGCCAGAUCCCCUUGUCUGGUCUGUAUAUGCCACUUUUGCUGGGGUGGAAGGAGGGAAGGGCUGGCUUGCUGAGCUAGGCUCUAGAAUGGGAAGGGUACCUUUCUGCAGAUCCCAUUUGGACUCUCCACUUGAACAAGUGAGGUGUCUGAUUUUCUUCUUCGGUACCUUCCUCUCCUCCCCCUCCCUUCGCCUCACCCCGCUUUCAUCUAUCAUCACCACCUGGGUCCUACUGCUUGGCACCCAACCAACUGGAUGCCGCCACGUUUGGCAGUGCUGCACUGGCACGUGAACAGUGUCUCAGAUCCUGGCACUGCAGCAAACCCAAAGCCACCAAACAUGCUCAUGAUGCCACUUGGCAGCAGUCAGAGAGAGGGGGCUGUGCACAUAGUGGUGCCAGGCAUUGGGUGGAGCUCUGUGCAGGGAACUGGCAUGAGAGGAUGCCCUUAACAACUGGGCUGAGUCAGCACUCCCUGGUCAAUCUCAGCUCUGCCUUCCUCCCAACUAGAUAUCCACCUCCUUCCUACCCUUAUUGCCCCCACGAAAGGGAUUUAGAUGGUACCAUAUUGAGUGUUUGAGCACCAUGCGAAAGGAAACAAGCACAGAGGGACAGGCUAGAGCACAGGCUGUAGACACACCCAAGGCUCCAGGCUAGUGGACCAUACAUAUCCUUGGACAACAACAACAACAAAACCCUAGGAGAGCAAAAGGAGGUGGAGAGAGGGACACCAGCUGGGUUGUUACCAGGAUGGCACAAGAAGAGAUUGGAAGGGAAGUAGGAAGGAGUGACCCUCAGACCUUGCUCUUGGGUGAUGGGGUGGUUUGUACUUAUGCAUAUUUCAUUCUGCCUUGUGCCUUGUGAUUUGCUGAGCUGUGGUUGAGAUGAACUGGUUCUUUCUCCCUUGUUAAAAGGUCCAUAUUCAAUAAUAGUCCUAGAAAGAUGGAAAGGUGCUCUAGGCCUAGAGAGGUAGACAGGUGUUAGGAAGACAAAGGGACUUGUCCUUCCAGAAAGACUAUGC